GUCCCUGUAGUUCAACGGAUAGAACAAGCCCCCCCUAAGGGCUAGAUGUGAGUUCAAUUCUCGCCAGGGACA
rnacentral:tRNA from 1 species